GACGUAGGGCGCGAGCGUUGUCCGGAUUUAUUGGGCGUAAAGAGCUCGUAGGCGGCCUGUCGCGUCGGUUGUGAAAGCCCGGGCUCAACCCCGGGUCUGCAGUCGAUACGGGCAGGCUAGAGUUCGUAGGGGAGAUCGGAAUUCCUGGUGUAGCGGUGAAAUGACGCAGAUAUCAGGAGGAACACCGGUGGCGAAGGCGGGUCUCUGGGCCGAUACUGACGCUGAGGAGCGAAAGCGUGGGGAGCAAACAGG
rnacentral:rRNA from 1 species